CAUAAAACUUUGUCAUAGAAAUCAGAUUUCUCCUCAACACACCAAAUACAUUUAAAAAUAGUUCUGUGUUUAAUAAUUAUGUCUGAAACACCUCCAAUCAUUGAGACAAAAAAAAAACCACAAAUAGUGUCAAUUGGUAGAUUUUGUCCCUAUUCAUGUCUAGAUUUGUAAAUUGUACAAAUAAUCUUUGUCCUUCCAGGCCAGACCUCAAAGUGACAGAGUGAGGAGGACCUCACCUUAGUGUCAAAACAGGAAAUGCAACUGCAGCAACCACUGCAAACUUUAAGAUAAGGGAGCUCAAAAGAGAAAAUGCAGCACUCAGACAAUCUCUUUCUGUGAUUGAAGACAUGGCUGGUGGUUUGAGACCCAUCCCCAAAUCUCACAAUGACAUCAUGGCUGGUGGAUCCACACCCUUCCUCCAACCCCCAAAAGCAGCACUCCAAGACAUAGCCGUCACAACCCUCCCAGACAGAAUGAUAGGGUGACUUCAAACCUUGGAGCUGGAAAGCGGGGAUGCAAACUAGUGACAAUUUGAAUACAAAAGCAGGUGUAUUAACAUUGUAACAAUACAGCAAGCAGAAAAAUACUGUAUGCAUGUACAGUUUUGCUUAAUUUAACGUAAAUGUUUAAUGCAUAUUGUAGUACAAUGAUCAUUUGUCUUAUAAGUGUUUUAACUUAUAGAGCGCCAUAUAGGAUUAUGCUAAACAUAUUCACAAAACAAUUUCUCGUUAACAACUAAAACUAGCUAACGAAGUACAUCAAGCAAACAACUUGAGUCAUGGCAGAAAGGACUACGAGAAUGGUUUUAUAAUUAAAAUUCAUUUAUUUACAGGGGGGGGUUCUGUUUUGCUUUAAAACAUGUUACAACAAUCAACCUACCAGAGCUUAUGUUUUCUUCAGUUUGUCAUCUGAUUGAUACUCUUCCUCUUGGUUCAAAGAUUUGUAAGUAAGUUCUGACUCUGACCCAAGUCGCGCCUCGGCGCGGAUUAAUCGAAAAUGACUUCCUGGAUUUUAAUGAAAAAAUGACCGAUAUCAUUCGGAAAUAUUAGGCUAGGUCAAUAUUUUAGCAAAGUAAUCUUAUCGAGAUUUUAACUACAAGGACUAUUGCAGUGAUUGGAGGCACAAGUGGUGUCUUUUGAAGGUAUUUAUGAUAAACUUUGACAUUAAAUGGGGUUUCUUUGGGAGAGGGAGAAGUAGAAUUCGCUGAUGAGCUAAACUAAAUACUGAUCCAACCAACCUAAAAACUGUACUUAGAAAGGGGGGAGAAAGAUAGAAGGGGAGAGUGACAAAGCGAGAGACAGAAAGAAAGAGAUAAGAGUUGUAUAGUUACCACUAGUGCUGGGGGAUAGGACUACAUCCAUCAUCAAUGGCGACGACGUGACAAUAUCAAAAACAAUGUUUUGUUAGCCGACUCGAGAAAUUCUGUUUUCAGCAACUUUUUAGAAUCACGGAUAAUGAUGUUAAUAAUCUAUUCAUAUGUGUUCUGCAAAGUCCUAAUAUCGGUAACAAUAAUGGUUUUGUCCGAAUACUCGGCACACCCAUAUUAAAGACAUACUGGGGAUGAUUGCGCUAACAAGGCAAGGGUUUUUUAGAACAGGUGCACACAAACUGCAAGUCAGAGCAAAUCCUAAUAUUAAAAUACUGUAUUGAUUUCGGAUGUAAUUUAAAAAAAUAUUCUAAUAUCAUGCAAAAAACAAAGUUUCUGUCCAUAACAAUGGAAGGUUUGAAUACAUUGUUGAUAACUACUACAGUACUGUAAAAAGACCACAUUUUGACCACAGCUUCUAAAGGCCCAAAAUCAUGUGUAACUGGUUAGUAUUAGUUAUUUUCUGAUGUUUUCAUGGUGGAACUGGCAGAAGGUGUUAAACUCCAUGCGAACAUUAUCACUCGACUGAGCAAAGAACCACCAAAGUGCAUUUCUGAGCUCAUGACAGCUCUGUUUCCCAGAGAGGUGAUCGUCGGCUCUUUGUUGACGGGAAAAAAAUUGAAUGCAUUCUGGGACCAGGAGGCAAAGAAACCGCUGUGCCCAACCAAAGUGUCUGCCAUUUUGUAAUGGUCGUCGCAGUGAAUGGACCAAGGCGCAGCGGCGUUUUUAAUUAUGCGAAACCAGAUGGAGGAGAAGGAUGUCUUAAAACGAAUUAUAUCGAAGCUUAACAAUGAGUCGAAAUUGCUUAAGAAGUCCAAGAUUUAGGUUUAAAACGGCUUAUUUUUUUUACUCAAAGGGAGUAACUUGGAGGCUAAGGCCUAACUUUUUGAUUUGUUAACUCGGUGAAAAAGUAUUAAAAUUGAUCAUUUUUUAAAUAUGA